rnacentral:rRNA from 1 species
UACGUAGGUGACAAGCGUUGUCCGGAUUUACUGGGCGUAAAGAGCGCGCAGGCGGUCGAUCAAGUCGAGUGUGAAAGCCCCCGGCUCAACUGGGGAGGGUCAUUCGAUACUGAUCGACUCGAAGGCAGGAGAGGGUAGUGGAAUUCCCGGUGUAGUGGUGAAAUGCGUAGAUAUCGGGAGGAACACCAGUGGCGAAGGCGGCAUCCUGGACCGGCAUUGACGCUGAGGAGCGAAAGCCAGGGGAGCAAACGGG